rnacentral:piRNA from 1 species
UGCCCGUCUAUAAUUUUAACUACAAAUGGU